UGACCAUUCAGGUUGAAACACCAGCUCCCCUACGAUUAGUGAAGUUAAGCAUCGUCGAGCAUCGUCAGUACGUAGAUGGCUGAGCGCUUGGGAAUAUCAAGUGAUGUAG